GCCACCGUCGCAACCAUCGCCACCGCAACCACCAAAACCACCACCUAAAAGCCAAUUAAGAAGCAACCAAGAAAUUCAAGAAAACCAAAAAAGAAUUCAAAGAAGCAACAGCCAAAAAAACCAAAUUUUGGGGAAGAAAAAAACGUUUACCUUCGAGUCGUCGGUCACUGAGUGCGGAAAAGAGCCGAGGACAAGCACAGCGGCGGUGCCUUCCUCUUUGGGGUUGUUGAAAUAGAAGAGAAAGAGAGGAGAAGGAAAGAAAAAAGAAAGAAAGGAGAGAAAGAAAAGAAGAAAAAAAAGGGACAAAAAAAUAGAGAAAGCUUUUCGAAAAAAAGAGAAGAGAAGAGAGAAAUGAGAAGGGAAAGGGGAAAGAAGAGAGAAGGGAGGAGUCCGGCCAUCGUCGGCAAUAGAGGAAGCAGCAGCGACGGUGCGG
rnacentral:lncRNA from 1 species